rnacentral:sRNA from 1 species
GUGUGUGAAUCGGCCGAUGUGAACCAAAUGUUGAUGUAAGAGGCAGGGCACUCGGCUGCGGAUGGGUAACAGGGCGUGGGCUGGCACACUUACUUGCACCAGUGCCCAGAGAGGGGGUGCAGGCUGAGGAGCUGCCCAGAGCACCGCUCACACUCCCAGAGUACCUGAAGUCGGCAUUUCAAUGACAGGUGACAAGGGUCCCCAAAGGCUAAGCGGGUCCAGCUAUGGUUCCAUCUCCAGCCCGACCAGCCCGACCAGCCCAGGGCCACAGCAAGCACCUCCCAGAGAGACCUACCUGAGUGAGAAGAUCCCCAUCCCAGACACAAAACCGCUUCUCUGGGUGCUGCUCUGGGCCACGGUGUUGGGCUUGCUCUGCCAGCGACUGGCUGCACGUCUGGGCGUGGUGACAGGCAAGGACUUGGGCGAGGUCUGCCAUCUCUACUACCCUAAGGUGCCCCGCACCGUCCUCUGGCUGACCAUCGAGCUAGCCAUUGUGGGCUCCGACAUGCAGGAAGUCAUCGGCACGGCCAUUGCAUUCAAUCUGCUCUCAGCUGGACGGUACCACCCCAGUGUACCCCAACUCUUCAGGCCAGGCAGAGAACAGCUGCUGCUACUUCCCCCCACCCAGUCCCUCCCAGAGUCUAUUUUAUCCUGCUGUCCCCUCUGAAGCAGGGCUGCUGCCCUGUUUUCCAGAAAUGUAAAGUGACUUGUCUAAAGUCACACAGAUGUGAGUCAUGCAGGACUUUGGGACUGCAGCCCUAAACUCCCUGCUGCGCCGGGUGCCAGGUCUCUCCUCUAGCUCUGCCCUACCUCGACUGUUCUAUGCCACACUCCCACUCCCCUUGCCCUAGCUGUCUGGGGGCGCUUAGGGUCCUGCUCCCAGGAGGCCAGAUUCCUGUCUCCAGCCCUGAGGCUCCGUAGGAGUUAGAGACCCCUGGACCAGGCUGGGCUGACCCGGGCCACUCUGGUUUCAGAAUCCCACUCUGGGGUGGCGUCCUCAUCACCAUCGUGGACACCUUCUUCUUCCUCUUCCUCGAUAACUACGGGCUGCGGAAGCUGGAAGCUUUUUUUGGACUCCUUAUAACCAUUAUGGCCUUGACCUUUGGCUAUGAGUAUGUGGUGGCGCGUCCUGAGCAGGGAGCGCUUCUUCGGGGCCUGUUCCUGCCCUCGUGCCCGGGCUGCGGCCACCCCGAGCUGCUGCAGGCGGUGGGCAUUGUUGGCGCCAUCAUCAUGCCCCACAACAUCUACCUGCACUCGGCCCUGGUCAAGUCUCGAGAGAUAGACCGGGCCCGCCGAGCGGACAUCAGAGAAGCCAACAUGUACUUCCUGAUUGAGGCCACCAUCGCCCUGUCCGUCUCCUUUAUCAUCAACCUCUUUGUCAUGGCUGUCUUUGGGCAGGCCUUCUACCAGAAAACCAACCAGGCUGCGUUCAACAUCUGUGCCAACAGCAGCCUCCACGACUACGCCAAGAUCUUCCCCAUGAACAACGCCACCGUGGCUGUGGACAUUUACCAGGGGGGCGUGAUCCUGGGCUGCCUGUUCGGCCCCGCGGCCCUCUACAUCUGGGCCAUAGGUCUCCUGGCGGCUGGGCAGAGCUCCACCAUGACGGGCACCUACGCGGGACAGUUCGUGAUGGAGGGCUUCCUGAGGCUGCGGUGGUCACGCUUCGCCCGUGUCCUCCUCACCCGCUCCUGCGCCAUCCUGCCCACCGUGCUCGUGGCUGUCUUCCGGGACCUGAGGGACUUGUCGGGCCUCAAUGAUCUGCUCAACGUGCUGCAGAGCCUGCUGCUCCCGUUCGCCGUGCUGCCCAUCCUCACGUUCACCAGCAUGCCCACCCUCAUGCAGGAGUUUGCCAAUGGCCUGCUGAGCAAGGUCGUCACCUCUUCCAUCAUGGUGCUAGUCUGCGCCAUCAACCUCUACUUCGUGGUCAGCUAUCUGCCCAGCCUGCCCCACCCUGCCUACUUCGGCCUUGCAGCCUUGCUGGUCGCAGCCUACCUGGGCCUCAGCACCUACCUGGUCUGGACCUGUUGCCUUGCCCACGGAGCCACCUUUCUGGCCCACAGCUCCCACCACCACUUCCUGUAUGGGCUCCUUGAAGAGGACCAGAAAGGGGAGACCUCUGGCUAGGCCCACACCAGGGCCUGGCUGGGAGUGACAUAGACGGGGUUUGCCAUGCUGGCCAGGCUGGUCUCGAACUGCUGGAUUCAAGUGAUCCGCCCAUCUCCGCCUCCCAAAGUGCUGGGAAUUACAGGCGUGAGCCACCAAACCCGGCCUGAUUAAAGUUAAAUAAAUACUAGUUCCCUUCUCGUCCAAAGGAGCAGGGAAUGGGAACCGGGAAGGCACGAAGUCUCUAAAGCAUCCAGAAGACCCCUACACCAGGGUCUGGUCCGCUCCUAUUCGCCGCAGCCUUUCUGUUCCGCCUGCAACCCAUUUUCCAGACAGUAAAACGGCGGCGCACUUCUUUCUCCGUCAGGCACCAGGUCAUAAGGAACCCAAGAGUCUGUGCCUCUGAGGCCCAAAUUAUUUGCUGUUUCCUCAGGGGAGCC